rnacentral:rRNA from 1 species
UACGAAGGGUGCAAGCGUUACUCGGAAUUAUUGGGCGUAAAGAGCUUGUAGGCGGUUUGUCGCGUCUGCUGUGAAAAUCCGGGGCUCAACCCCGGACUUGCAGUGGGUACGGGCAGACUAGAGUGUGGUAGGGGAGACUGGAAUUCCUGGUGUAGCGGUGAAAUGCGCAGAUAUCAGGAGGAACACCGGUGGCGAAGGCGGCGCUCUGGAACGUUACUGACGCUGAGACACGAAAGCGUGGGGAGCAAACAGG